UACGAAGGGGCUAGCGUUGUUCGGAAUUACUGGGCGUAAAGCGCACGUAGGCGGAUAUUUAAGUCGGGGGUGAAAUCCCGGGGCUCAACCCCGGAACUGCCUUCGAUACUGGGAUCUUGAGUUCGGAAGAGGUGGAGGUGGAAUUGCGAGUGUAGAGGUGAAAAUUCGUAGAUAUUCGCAGGAACACCAGUGGCGAAGGCGGCUCACUGGUCCGAGUACUGACGCUGAGGUGCGAAAGCGAGGG
rnacentral:rRNA from 1 species